rnacentral:rRNA from 1 species
UUGAAAGGGAAACGAUUGAAGUCAGUCAUACCAACGGGAAAUCAACCUUUUGAGCUUGGUCUCGUGGGUUUUGAAGAGUUUCAAAGCCUUCGGAUUCGCGAGAUUGGGAUCUCUCGGUGUACUUUCUCGUACGGUUAGUCAACAUCGGUUUUGAAUGUCAUAAAAUGACUGGAGGAAUGUAGCUUCGAUCUCGUAUUGAAGUGUUAUAGCCUGUGGUAGAUGUGAUGUUCGAGACCGAGGAUUGCGACGGAUACCCUUCAGGGCUAUUCGUCUGAUCUCUGAUACGUUGCCCUGAUGUUGAAAGCUUGCUUAUGAUGUUAGGGUAUUACGGUCAAAAGGUUAGAACGAAUUACAUUCGUUAAGGAUGUUGACGUA